UCGGCCCGGGCGGCUUCGGCCCCGGGGGCCCGUUCGGCGGGCCCGGCGGCCCGUUCGGGCCGGGCGGGCCGGGCC
rnacentral:tRNA from 2 species